CACGGUUAGGCAAACUUGUGGUGCCAUUUGUAGCUCAGGUUUUUAUGUUGGGUUAAACGGAGGCUGCUGCUGCUAAGUCACUUCAGUCGUGUCCGACUCUGUGUGACCCCAUAGAUGGCAACCCACCAGGCUCCCCUGUCCCUGGGAUUCUCCAGGCAAGAACGCAGGAGUGGGUUGCCAUUUCCUUCUCCAAUGCAUGAAAGUGAAAAGUGAAAGGGAAGUCGCUCAGUCGUGUCUGACUCUUCGCGACCCCAUGGACUGCAGCCCACCAGGCUCCUCCGUCCAUGGGAUUCUCCAGGCAAGAGUUCUGGAGUGGGGUGCCAUUGCCUUCUCCCUAAACGGAGGCUGGUUUUUUAGCAGAAACUGCAUCUUUCCUAAGCUUCUUCAUCCCCUCUCUUGUCUUUCUCACACCAGCGAUACUGUCUCAAACUCAAGCUCUGCUGUUCGGGAACCUGACCUUACGCCUAAAACGGGGGGUGGUAAGUGCUUUUAAGGGUGUGUGUAGGGUGUGUAGGUGAGGUCUGAGUGGCCCAGUGGGUAAAGAAUACCCCUGCAAUGCAGAAAACACAGGAGACAUGGGUUAGAUUCCUGGAUUGAGAAGAUCCCCUGGAGGGGGGCAUGGCAAUCCACUCUAGUAUUCUUGGCAGGAAAAUUCCAUGGACAGAGGAGCCUGGCGGGCUGUAGUCCAUAAGGCUGCAAAGGCCACUGAGCACACACACACAUGUAGGUGAGAAAGGUUAUGAUGUAAAAUAGGGUUUUAAAGGUUUGAGCGCUUCUGCUCCAGAAUCUUGUAAAUGUUCAUGCGCAAGGAGAUAGGGACAAGAGUGUCUGUUGUGAAAACUCGAGUGUAAUCUGCUACCAGUAAGAGGACAGAUAAACCAUGUGUGAAAAUAGCAAACCCCUUGCUCAUGUUCACCUUAGUCCACAAAGGACUAAAGGUUGAGGAAACUUGGGAAGUUUCAGCCUUUACAAGGUGGGUGGGGGCACUGGGUGAUUCUGAUAUUUUUUAUGCUUCUCUUUUCUACACUUCUCUCUUUAUUUGAAAUAUUUAAUGAGCGAGAUAAAAGCCCUGAUCCUCACUUACUUGCCCACUCACCUUCUCUUACACACCCCCAUGGAUAAAUGAGGAAGCAAUGUGUUUCCCACUCUUUGAUAAAUUAUGUAAGUUAAGUUUCUCUUGUUCUUUAUUCUAAGGAUACACAGGAGAACUAGGUUAUACGGAGGCUCAAUAAACUCCUGGUCUUUACAAUCAGCUGGUACUCCCAAUUGCCAUGGGGCUGGGGUUAUUGUUUAAUUGUGGUUCUUGUUUACUCAAGUCUUUCAUGAAGUAAGAAAAAUAUGUAGGAAGGAGGGAAGGAGAAUUGGAAGGAGAAAGUCAAGUGAGAAGGCAAAAGAAACUGUGAAUCUCAUAGUUUCAGUGUAAACGCUGUGGUUUAACAUUGGGAUGGUUUGUUUCCUUGCAGUUCCUAAGGGUGAAUCGGAACCACUUGGGAGAAAGCCCCUGUGAUCAACUAUAUUUUUGACCGCAGAGUGAGAGCCCCUUUAAGUCAUCUGUAUCCACAUGGAAACAUCACUUAGACUGGACUUCUGAGUACCUUGUUCCAGCCCCUCACCCAAGAUCCAGCUGGAGGAUUUCCUUUUUAAUUUCUCCAGCCCAUACCCAACAGAUCAUCUUUGGAAAGUCACUUUACAACUGGCUGGGAUUAUCAGGACAUGGAAGUCCUCUGUCACAGCACUGCUAGGUGCAACAGACAAGAGACCUUAGAUGGCUUUCUACACGUGCCUCUAUUCCUGUGGCAUCUCAAGAAAGAAAAGCUCCAGCAGGAGACUGGUGUAGACAUCAGAGAUGAAAGGACAGUGUCUAACAACAUGCACUACCCAAAUGAUUCUGUACUUUUAUUAUUUACCUGGACUCCAUCUUGUUUAAAAAAAAAAACUGGGGAGGGAGGCUCUAGAGGGAGGAGACAUAUGUUUACCUAUGCUGAUCCAUGUUGAUGUAUGGCAGAAACCAACACAAUAUUGUAAUUAUACUUCAAUUAAAAAUAAAGUUUGAAAAAUUUGAGGAGGUUUACAAAAGUACAUUUAUAAUAUUAUAAUAUAUAAAUCCCAACAAAAAACAGGAUGCAUCAACAUGGAUGGACCUCGAGACUGUCAUUCUGAGUGAAGUUAAAUCAGAAGCAGAAAUAUCGUAUGACAUCCCUUAUAUGCGAAAUCUAAAAGGAUAUGAUACAAAUGAACUUAUUUACAAAGCAGAGACUCACAGACUUAGAGAAUGAACUUACAGAUACCAGUGGAGGAAAGGGGGGUAGAUAGAGGAAAGGGGGUUUGGGAUGGAUAGGUACACACUGCCAUAUUUAAAAUGGACAGAAAACCAAUAAGGACCUACUAUAUAGCACAGAUAACUCAAUGCUAUGUGGCAGCCUGGAUGGGAGAGGAGUUUGGGGGAGAAUGGAUACAUGUGUAUAUAUGGGUGAGUCCCUUCACUGUUCAUCUGAAACUAUCACAGUAUUGUUAAUUGGCUAUACUCCAAUACCAAAGAUUUUUAAAAAACAGUAAGGAAACUCAGUUAAAAAGGAAAGAAAAAUGAAAAUAUCCUUUUGAAAGAAUUGUAUAUAACUUGCCUGUUAUGAGAGUCUUUGUAGAUCUUUGAAGGCACUGACUAGCUUUGGCUCUGAGCCUCCUAAUGGCCAAAGCAAAGAGGACAACACAGCUUCCUGUGAAGCCCAUCUGGAGAGGGGAAGGAGGUCCUAUUAGGGCACGUUUAUUUUUUCACAAUGACUUGAGAAUAUUCUAUACAUCUAGUGGGUGGGGUCAGUAAGCCUAAAUAUCCUGCAGUACAUAACCCUCCAUAGCAGGGUUGUCCCAUCCAAAAUGCCAAUCACAUACCUUCGAGAAUGACUGACUUUUAUGAUUCAUCGAGUCUAAAAGCCAAAAAUUCAGACUAGUAAUUCAGGAGAAGCACUGAGACCAGAAGACACUAUCCUUCUGAGACCU
ensembl:lncRNA